rnacentral:rRNA from 1 species
AGAGUUUGAUCCUGGCUCAGGACGAACGCUGGCGGCGCGCUUAACACAUGCAAGUCGAGCGAGAACCGAAGCCUUCGGGCAUCGGGGAAAGCGGCGAACGGGUGAGUAACACGUGGGCAACCCACCCUUGGUACCGGGAUAGCCCGGGGAAAACCCGGAUUAAUACCGGAUGGCCCAGCAGCUCUUUGGGGCGGCUGGAAAAGGGAGCUUCGGCCUCCGACCAAGGACGGGCCCGCGGCGGAUUAGCUUGUUGGUGGGGUAACGGCUCACCAAGGCGACGAUCCGUAGCUGGUCUGAGAGGACGAUCAGCCACACUGGGACUGAGACACGGCCCAGACUCCUACGGGAGGCAGCAGUGGGGAAUCUUGCGCAAUGGGCGAAAGCCUGACGCAGCGACGCCGCGUGGGGGAAGAAGGCUUUCGGGUUGUAAACCCCUUUCAGGAAGGACGAAGCUACUCGGGUGAAUAGCCCAGAGGGUGACGGUACUUCCAGAAGAAGCCCCGGCUAACUACGUGCCAGCAGCCGCGGUAAUACGUAGGGGGCAAGCGUUGUCCGGAUUUAUUGGGCGUAAAGAGCGUGUAGGCGGCCAUGUAGGUCCGUUGUGAAAACUCGAGGCUCAACCUCGAGACGCCGAUGGAAACCAUGUGGCUAGAGUCCGGAAGAGGAGAGUGGAAUUCCUGGUGUAGCGGUGAAAUGCGCAGAUAUCAGGAAGAACACCCGUGGCUAAGGCGGCUCUCUAGUACGGUACUGACGCUGAGACGCGAAAGCGUGGGGAGCAAACAGGAUUAGAUACCCCCGUAGUCC